rnacentral:lncRNA from 1 species
UUUUUGGACUUGGGCCUCUCUCAUUUGAGCCCACAGGUCCACAAAAAUCAGGUUAUAAAUUCAGAGUUUCAGUGAAACAAAAGGGAAUUCUAUUCCUAUUACCCUGGCAGGGAAAAAGAUAGUGAGAGAAGAGCUAACAGAGUUCAGAGCAACCUCCAGAGACUGAAGGGAACUCAUCUGCAAAGAACCAAUUCCCUCUCAUAUAAACCCU